GCAGUGGUGAAGAGAGCUUUCUUUAGUCCAUUCAUGGGUGGCGACAGGAUUUAAUUAGCUGCCGAGUCAUUCAUCCAAAUACUGGGUUAUUAGCUCAGGACGACACCCAGUAAAUGUGUGAAUGAAGCGGGAGACAAAUUGGAUCUUGAGCUUCCUGUACUUGGACUGAAGGGAGCUCCCUUAAUUAAUUACUUC
rnacentral:pre_miRNA from 1 species